AAAGUAUACAUUUCAGUUUGAUUUAUUUUUAUUUCAGGGCCCCAGGAGACACGAGGACAGCGUUAUUCAACAACUCUUAACUCGGCAGCUGCAUAGGACGCAGAACGAAUGACACAUGACGCUCUAUAGAGGCAGAUGGGACUGGAAGUUUAGGCCAUAUUUCACCCAAGCCAAAGCGCAACAAGACGUACUGGUGACAAGACAAGUUUGUUGGCUUUAAAGGAGGUAUAUACCCGUAGACCUGACACCCUAGAUCCUCCUCAGCCUCAUCUUACCGGUUACCCUCACUGCUCUGGUCAAGUCAAAUUGGGAUUCAAAAUACCCUGGGGCCAAAGCAGCAGCGUUUCUUUUACGGCCUCAUCACAUGAGCGUCAAAGUGUGAAGUCCGUUUCUCUUAUGGCAUCAUCACAAGUGUGCCUGGCUGCUUCACAUGAAGGUCAUACGGCCCGUCCACACAGUCUAGCUUUGCUCGACGAAAUCUACUCGAUGUGACAUCAUAAGUGGAGAAACGGCGGAUAAGGUCUUGGCCACCUAUUUCGACCGUGUGGAAGGGACUUUAUGACGACUUCACACGAGCGUAAAAGUGUGAAGUCCUGUCCAAAAUUUACAAAGGCCAGUCAUCCAGGGCUGUCUAUUAAGAAAACUACUGUAUUUUUUUUAUGAGUGUUUCUGUAGUUUAGUUUACAGUAUUAUAUAUAAAAAAGGUACACAACAUGACGAGAUGUAUACCAUUAAUAUGGUCAGUAUAAGCUGCAUGGGCAUUUGCAAAUGAUAUAAAUAUCAAGCUCUCAGUAUUUAUUUUCAUUACAACAUUUACUGGAAAAAAACCACUACACAACAUUAAAUUUGUCUUUUAUUACUGUAAACUUUAAUAAGUUUGUUACAUUUAAAAUGGUUUUAUGGCAAUUUAUAUUGUGUUGAUACAUCUAAAUUCACAUUAAAUUAUUGUUAAUUCAAUGUCUUUAGAAAGAGCACGAGAACACAAACUUCAAACGCUUGCAAGUCCCUUUCUGAUGAUUCUUCAAGUCCAACUGAAGUCUGCCAAAUUAUUUCUUACAACUUAAUCUCUAUUUUUAUGCUACAAACUUUUUAUGCCAUACCAUAAAUUGCAUAUUAACUUUAAACUUUACACCAUGAACUCUCUAUACAUAGUAUAAUGUACUAUCAAAUCUCCCAUUUUUGUACCCUAUGUUGGAUAUAUACGAUCUCAACUAUAUUUUCAUACCAAUAUCAUAUCUUAUAUACAUACAAAAUGUUAAUUUUAUACCAAUUGCUGUAUAUUAACUAUGACCCCUUUAUCCUAAUAACAUACGCACCUACUUAAUACGAUUAUCAUAAAAUCACUUACGGCACAAAACUGAAAGAUCAAAAUAAUUAUUUAACUACCAGCCUUGGUCUAUUUUUAUACCAUAUGUUGCGUAUUAACUUCAAACGUUGUAUACUAUCAACAAUAUUUUUAUACCAUGUUACAAGAACUU